rnacentral:rRNA from 1 species
AGAGUUUGAUCAUGGCUCAGAAUCAACGCUGGCGGCGCGCUUAACACAUGCAAGUCGAACGGGAAAGUGGAGCAAUCCAUGAGUACAGUGGCGUACGGGUGAGUAACACGUGGGUAAUCUACCUCUUAGUGGGGAAUAACCCUGGGAAACCGGGGCUAAUACCGCAUAAGCCUGAGAAGGGAAAGCAGCAAUGCGCUGAGAGAGGAGCCCGCGGCCGAUUAGCUAGUUGGUAGGGUAAAGGCCUACCAAGGCAGAGAUCGGUAGCCGGCCUGAGAGGGCACACGGCCACACUGGCACUGAAACACGGGCCAGACUCCUACGGGAGGCAGCAGUGGGGAAUCUUGCACAAUGGGGGCAACCCUGAUGCAGCGACACCGCGUGAGCGAUGAAGCCCUUCGGGGUGUAAAGCUCUUUCGUCAGGGAAGAUCAUGACGGUACCUGGAGAAGCAGCUGCGGCUAACUACGUGCCAGCAGCCGCGGUAAUACGUAGGCAGCGAGCGUUGUUCGGAGUUACUGGGCGUAAAGGGUGUGUAGGCGGUUCUUUAAGUUUGGUGUGAAAUCUCCCGGCUCAACCGGGAGGGUGCGCCGAAUACUGAGGGACUAGAGUGCGGGAGAGGAAAGUGGAAUUCCUGGUGUAGCGGUGAAAUGCGUAGAUAUCAGGAGGAACACCGGUGGUGUAGACGGCUUUCUGGACCGUAACUGACGCUGAGACACGAAAGCGUGGGUAGCAAACAGGAUUAGAUACCCUAGUAGUCC